GCAACAUUCAACAUCAGGAGUGCCUCUUCUGUUGAGUAAUUGGAUCCUAGAUCUGGAUCUACCAAUUCUAGGAGAGUUCCUCUCUCAUGUAGAACACAAGCCUGAAACACAUUUAAGAGUCGCGAUUAGCUUACAACUCAAGUUUUGCAGAAACUAGGUCCUGUUUCGUCUAUUGCUUGAGAGGUAAAAUCAUAACAUUGAAUGCUGUGUGGGAUGGUAAGAAUCUCAUUUUUCUUUUAGAAUUUUAACGUAUGGGGGGAAUUCAUGUAUGGCCAGUGGAAGUUUGGUUAGUAUGGAAAAAAAGAUGGGAUGCAGGAAUCAGGAUUGAACUGAUGUUCCUGUUUAAGUAAUAUGACUUUUUUUAAAUGCGCUCACAUAUUAAACAUCCUAGGGUUAAAUGAAAACUGAUCAUGUCCCAACACUUUGGGCAUCUAAUAUUUAUAACACUAAUGAUUGUCUGAGAGUCCAUAAUUGCUUUGGAUGUAAGGUGAUCACAUAGCAAGUCCCCAUCCAAAAUGGCCCAAAAGGCUCUUUAUGAAUGGAUGAAGGUUCAAGAGUUACCCAAUCUAGAAGAUAAACAAAGUCUUCCUUUGGCCUGUAGUUUGUGUUACUUUUCCCACUGACAACUUCCAAAGCAACAACACCAAAACUGUAUACAUCAGCUUUAUCUGUUAAAUAACCACGCAUAGCAUACUCAGGAGCCAUGUAUCCGCUGCAUGAAUACAGAACAAUCAAGUCAGCUGUAGAAUGCAGUCCAACAGACUUAUAAAUGCACAGAAAAGUGUUAUUCACAUAAGAACUGAUUACUAACAUUAAGUGUCUUAAUUCAAGGGAACUGUCAAUAUGCUGCUAGUUGCAUUUUUUUUUCAUUUAUUUAUGUUUAUAUGCAGCAAUGACACCUCCCAUAUACCUGUAGUUUUUCUAUAUCUUAGCUGAUGAUGUUAUAUUUCUUUGUUUCUCCAGCGGGUAGGCUCAAUGUUUGUUCAUUAGGUUUUCAAUAUUCUUCAUUAGGUUAAAUGUUGCAAUGCUCACUGUUACCUUUCCUUAUAACUACCUUCCCUUCAAAGCUUCUUAUCUAUAGCCUUGUGGUCAAUCAGAUGCAUGGAUCUAAUUCUAAGAAGAACAAGAGUAUGGAAGAAAAACUCUUACAUUGUUCCAGCUACUUUUGUGCUUAUGUGGGUGUGAUCGUCUUCAUUAAGCUUUGCUAGCCCAAAAUCUGAAAUCUUAGCAUUCAAAUCUUUGUCAAGUAGUAUAUUGCUGGCCUUGAUAUCUCGGUGUACAAUCCUUAUUGUAGAUUCCUCAUGCAGAUAUGCUAGACCUCUUGCUAUCCCAAGGCAAAUCUUGUAUCUUGUUGGCCAAUCCAGUCUCAGUCUAUAUUUUUCAACUGGACCCAGUAUUAACAGUCCAUAGAAAGAGUCUGUGAGUUCUAACAUGUAGCAUAAGUGUAAACAGGAUAAAUG